rnacentral:rRNA from 1 species
UACGAAGGGGGCUAGCGUUGCUCGGAAUCACUGGGCGUAAAGGGUGCGUAGGCGGGUCUUUUAAGUCAGGGGUGAAAUCCUGGAGCUCAACUCCAGAACUGCCUUUGAUACUGAGGAUCUUGAGUUCGGGAGAGGUGAGUGGAACUGCGAGUGUAGAGGUGAAAUUCGUAGAUAUUCGCAAGAACACCAGUGGCGAAGGCGGCUCACUGGUCCGGUACUGGACGC